rnacentral:rRNA from 1 species
GAUGAACGCUGGCGGCGUGCCUAAUACAUGCAAGUCGAGCGAAUGGAUUGAGAGCUUGCUCUUAUGAAGUUAGCGGCGGACGGGUGAGUAACACGUGGGUAACCUGCCCAUAAGACUGGGAUAACUCCGGGAAACCGGGGCUAAUACCGGAUAACAUUUUGAACCGCAUGGUUCGAAAUUGAAAGGCGGCUUCGGCUGUCACUUAUGGAUGGACCCGCGUCGCAUUAGCUAGUUGGUGAGGUAACGGCUCGCCAAGGCAACGAUGCGUAGCCGACCGGAGAGGGUGAUCGGCCACACUGGGACUGAGACACGGCCCAGACUCCUACGGGAGGCAGCAGUAGGGAAUCUUCCGCAAUGGACGAAAGUCUGACGGAGCGACGCCGCGUGAGUGAUGAAGGCUUUCGGGUCGUAAAACUCUGUUGUUAGGGAAGAACAAGUGCUGGUUGAAUAAGCUGGCACCUUGACGGUACCUAACCAGAAAGCCACAGCUAACUACGUGCCAGCCGCCGCCGUAA